rnacentral:rRNA from 1 species
CAAGUCGAACGAAGCUAGUCCUUGUAGCAAUACCGGGGCUAGACUGAGUGGCGAAAGGGGCAGUAAGGCGUGGGUAACCUACCCUGGGGAUGAGAAUAGCCGUUCUAACGGACGGGUAAUACUCAGCGACGUAGCGAGAUGGCAUCAUUUUGCUACCAAAUGAAUUUCGCCCUGGGAGGGGCUCACGUGGUAUUAGCUAGUUGGUGGGGUAAUGGCCUACCAAGGCAAAGAUGCCUAGCGGGUGUGAGAGCACGACCCGCGCCACUGGCACUGAGACACUGGCCAGACUCCUACGGGAGGCUGCAGUCGAGGAUCUUCGGCAAUGGGCGCAAGCCUGACCGAGCGACGCCGCGUGUGCGAUGAAGGCCUUCGGGUUGUAAAGCACUGUCGAGGGGGAGGAAGCCGCAAGGUUGACCUAUCCCUGGAGGAAGCACGGGCUAAGUUCGUGCCAGCAGCCGCGGUAAGACGAACCGUGCGAACGUUGUUCGGAAUCACUGGGCUUAAAGGGCGCGUAGGCGGCUGAUCAAGUCAGGGGUGAAAUCUUUCGGCUCAACCGGAAAAGUGCCUUUGAUACUGGUCAGCUCGAGGGAGGUAGGGGCAUGUGGAACUUCCGGUGGAGCGGUGAAAUGCGUUGAUAUCGGAAGGAACACCGGUGGCGAAAGCGACGUGCUGGCCCUCUUCUGACGCUGAGGCGCGAAAGCUAGGGGAGCGAGCGGGAUUAGAUACCCCGGUAGUCCUAGCCCUAAACGAUGGGUACUAGGUAGUGGACUUAACAUGGGUUCACUGCCGAAGCAAAAGUGUUAAGUACCCCGCCUGGGGA